rnacentral:rRNA from 1 species
CCUACGGGGAGCUGCAGUGGGGAAUAUUGGGCAAUGGAGGCAACUCUGACCCAGCAACGCCGCGUGAAUGAUGAAGGUCUUCGGAUUGUAAAGUUCUUUUCUAAGGGAAGAACAAUGACGGUACCUGACUAAGAAGCACCGGCUAAAUACGUGCCAGCAGCCGCGGUAAUACGUAUGGUGCAAGCGUUAUCCGGAUUUACUGGGUGUAAAGGGAGCGCAGGCGGCGCGUUAAGCCUGGUGUGAAAGCCCGCGGCCCAACCGCGGGACUGCAUUGGGAACUGGCGCGCUGGAGUGCCGGAGGGGUAGGCGGAAGUCCUAGUGUAGCGGUGAAAUGCGUAGAUAUUAGGAGGAACACCAGUGGCGAAGGCGGCCUACUGGACGGUGACUGACGCUGAGGCUCGAAAGCGUGGGGAGCAAACAGGAUUAGAUACCCCUGUAGUC